AGUGAACGCUGGCGGUAGGCCUAACACAUGCAAGUCGAACGGCAGCACAGUAAGAGCUUGCUCUUACGGGUGGCGAGUGGCGGACGGGUGAGGAAUACAUCGGAAUCUACUUUUUCGUGGGGGAUAACGUAGGGAAACUUACGCUAAUACCGCAUACGACCUACGGGUGAAAGCAGGGGAUCUUCGGACCUUGCGCGAUUGAAUGAGCCGAUGUCGGAUUAGCUAGUUGGCGGGGUAAAGGCCCACCAAGGCAACGAUCCGUAGCUGGUCUGAGAGGAUGAUCCGCCACACUGGAACUGAGACACGGUCCAGACUCCUACGGGAGGCAGCAGUGGGGAAUAUUGGACAAUGGGCGCAAGCCUGAUCCAGCCAUACCGCGUGGGUGAAGAAGGCCUUCGGGUUGUAAAGCCCUUUUGUUGGGAAAGAAAAGCAGCAGGUUAAUACCCCGCUGUUCUGACGGUACCCAAAGAAUAAGCACCGGCUAACUUCGUG
rnacentral:rRNA from 1 species